UGCAACGCGAAGAACCUUACCUGGUCUUGACAUCCCGGAGACCCUUAGGAAACUAAGGGGUGCUCCAUCUGGAAGAAUCUGGAGACAGGUGCUGCAUGGCUGUCGUCAGCUCGUGUCGUGAGAUGUUGGGUUAAGUCCCGCAACGAGCGCAACCCUUGCCUUUAGUUGCCAGCAGUUCGGCUGGGCACUCUAAAGGGACUGCCGGUGUUAAACCGGAGGAAGGUGGGGAUGACGUCAAGUCCUCAUGGCCUUUAUGACCAGGGCUACACACGUACUACAAUGGCCGAUACAAAGGGCAGCGACACUGCGAGGUGAAGCCAAUCCCGUAAAAUCGGUCUCAGUCCGGAUUGGAGUCUGCAACUCGACUCCAUGAAGUUGGAAUCGCUAGUAAUCGUGGAUCAGCCAAGCCGCGGUGAAUACGUUCCCGGGCCUU
rnacentral:rRNA from 1 species